rnacentral:rRNA from 1 species
AUUGAACGCUGGCGGCAGGCCUAACACAUGCAAGUCGAGCGGCGCGCCAGCCGGGUGAGGAAUGGCUAGGAAUCUGCAUGGUACUGGGGGAUGACGUUAGGUAACGGGCACUGAUACUGAAUCCUAGCAGAUGAGCCUAGGUCGGAUUAGCUAGUUGGUGGGGUAAAGGCCUACCAAGGCGACGACCCGUAACUGGUCUGAGAGGAGGAUCAGCCACACUGGAACUGAGACACGGUCCAGACUCCUACGGGAGGCAGCAGUGGGGAAUAUUGGACAAUGGGCGAAAGCCUGAUCCAGCCAUGCCGCGUGUGUGAAGAAGGUCUUCGGAUUGUAAAGCACUUUAAGUUGGGAGGCGUUACCAACAGAAUAAGCACCGGCUAACUUCGUGCCAGCAGCCGCGGUAAUAC